GUUAAAUUGAGAUAUGCCAAAAGACACAAUGAUUUAAUUGCAUUUUAAUGUAGUAAUGAUUGAUGCAGCAUAAGCCCCGUUUAUCAUUACUCCAACACUUAGUACCUAAUUCAAAUGGAUUGGUGUCAUGAUGGUCAGAUGCUCAAUUUUCUAAUAAUUUUUCUUGAAAAAUCAAAUGAAUGUAUUUGAAAAUAUACCAUCAUUUGAUCGAAACCGAGUAGGUGUGCAGCUUAGAGAGAUCAUGCUACAAACCCUGCUCAUCUCGGGUCUUAGACCAGCAAAGACUCAUUAGAAAAAAUGGUACUGACCAGCCUGACAGUCCAGGGGUUAAAUCUGCACCCGCGGCCCCACCUGCCGGCAGCGCGGUGCGACCCCGCCUCUCGCUCCUGGGGGCGGGGCAGCACCUGGCGAGGUAAGCGCUCAGCUCGCGCUGCAUAAAGCAGAGAAGCUGCCAGCGCUCGCAGUCAGCCUGGAGCAGGCAACGCAGCUGAGCGCCUUUCUAUGUGCGAGUGCAUAUUUAUUUAACAAUUAUUGCAGUUAUUUAUGACUUGCAGUACAAUUAGAAAUGUCUUCUCUCGCUAGGGAAAUACAUAAUUGAUAUACAGUCAUUAACGACCGUUCGAUUUCCAUCUCAUUUUCUGGAUCCAAAAGAGAGUCCGAGAUUACCUCUCUCACCGACAGACCCAUGCUGUCAAACCGAGCCAGAGGUCCCUCUGCAGUUCAUUGUCUCAGGUGUAGAACACAGUGGAUUGUGUGCGAAUAGUAAACAGACGUUUCCUGAGACGUUUCAUCUGUCGUACUGCAGGUACAGUAUAGCACCACCUCCGGCUCACUGUGACCUCAGUGAAGAAAGGGCCUCCCGUCCGCUACUGCUGACUAAUAAAGGUGACAGGCUGGUGAACGGCACUGCCUGGGAAGACAUGGAGUUCAGACAGGGUAACUCUGUCCAGGCGUGGAUAAAGCGAUCCCUGCGGAUCUUCCAGAAAACGCCUCCCUUAAGCUGCGACGCUGAGAUGGGGAAGCCUGCUCCUGCAGCUGUGGUAGGCUGGUCCUGGCAGCGAGUCUCGCUGGUCCUCGUCGUCCUGCUGGCUCUGGCUGUGAUGGUACUGCUGCUCUUCUGGAACUACCAGUGCAUCAUCAUCCAGCGCGUCUGCCAAGCCCAGGAGGAGCGCUCACCCUUCCCCGUCUUCGCGCCACAGUCCGAGCUGCCACAGGACGCAGCCGAGCAGGGCUAGAGCAGGGAACGAACAGGAGGAGCGGAGAGAGCUGCAGCUUCGUGUGGGUGUGAAGGCAACUGUGCUCUAAACUAAGAGUACAAUUAAACUGGAAUCAAACAGCACCUUCGCCAAAUUUGUAUCUCCAAGAUAGUGCAAGCACAUGGAAUAGUGCUCUGCUUGUGACGCUCAUGAGAAAUGUUUCCGUAGGGGGAUACCAGAAUUAUACAUUGGCUAAACGGUUUGUUGUAACUGAUUCAAAGUUCAGAACUUUACAGACGUUCAGAAUAUCAUUCAACGAGUGUUAUUAUUCAUAGGAAGAGUAAUUGCUAGCUGGAUGUUGCAUUUUGUACUCCCUCAUUUUUCAACAGGCAACUUUAAAAACGAACAUCUGAAGGAUCCCUCUUUGAGAGUGAAUCAUCAUUCAAUUCUGUACAUAUAUCACUAGUUGGAAUUGCACUGAAUUCUGCUGGUACAGUAUAUGGGUGUAAGUUAGGGUACAACCUGAAUGGGACACUAGUCGAUUGCAGACCACACACAUGUGGGGGAAAACUGAGUUCUGUCACUUGACCUAGACUGCAUGUCUUUGGAAGGAAUUUACAGCACUCAGAGUAAACUCACGUGCCCAUGUGAGGUGCAGGAGAAUUCAAGCUCCACAAACGGGGGCCCACAGGCUACAGUUCAGCCCAGUAAUCAAGAGCUGUGAGGUGGCAGCAGGACUCACCCCCAGACCUGGACCCCCUAGGUCUGAAUAUAUUCCAAAUCUGUUCUUGGUGACACAGAAGAACAGAAGGUGAAGGCACUGAGCAUAUUUUAAUCCUGAUCAUCAUUUCUGGCAUGAGUACCAGGAUGAACAAAAAGCUUCACAUUUUAAUUAUUAUUUUUUGUUUGUAAAAACACUAGAUGUUCGGUGGCAAGAUGAUGUCUUGGUUAGAGCUGCUGCCUCUAGAGUUCCUGGGUGUUAGGGGUGAUUCUGGGUGUUGUUUGCAUGUUCUCCCCAUGUGUGUAUGGGUUUUCUGGUGGACUGGUCCAGGUUAAAUACUGUCUCUAAACUGUUCUCUGCAAACAUGUGUGAGUAGAUGUGUUUGUGUACCAGGAUGAACUGAUCUCCUAUCCUGUGCCUCAUUGCUGUAUCCCAUGCAUGGAUGGAUGAAGAACUGCACAGCCCAAGGUUUAGCUUAUGCAGUGAAUUUUACAAUACUAGUUUAUCUAAUUUAGACUGUGGCACUCUAAACGUACAUACCAUAGUCAUCCGCUGAGGUUCUUUUGUCUUUGUUACAUUAAGCCUUUUAAAACACAUAUUUUCCAAAUGACAAAUCUGAUUUUUAAGAUUGUGUAUUUGUAUGUUACAAAUGGAUCAUGUGCACAACAAUGUUUAAUGUAGGUUAAUAAAACUUGUAUUGUUGAACUUACCUGAUCAUGUCAUUCGUUUCUUGUUUCAUUUUAGAAAAAAUAUUACCGGCAGGUAGUGCUUCUAGUUUUGAGUAUUAAAUGCAAUUCAAUAGUUUGAAGAACAAAUACACUUUAAAAAUGUCAUAUGUGCUAUAGAAUAACUAAACUGUUGGAGCAUUGUUGUGAGAUUUAUGCCAACACUACAGCUGACAAAAGCACAAUGAUGACUAAUGGAUGGGGGGUGUAGCAUUAACUCAUUGUUUUACCAUAAAGAAUAACAAACCUAAACCCUGUAAAUUUAAUAAAAAAGGCCAAUAAAUAUAACCAACCACAGUCUAUGAUAAUGUAUUCCCAUUUCUUGCAUAUGUGUUUUUUUUACUGAAAAAAAGAAAAAAUUUAGUGGCACAGACAAUGUUGACUGACCCUCAACAAGCCAGAGUUGUCUGUUCAACAGGUUUUAGGCUUAUUACUCAACACAGAAGGUCAGGUCAAUGGGAGGACCACCUGGCUUGUUUGUUCAGUAAUUAAUCAAAGCUAGCCAAGCCUCUUCCUUGUAUCUGGCUUAGAACUUUUUCCAAAGUGUUGUAAAAAAAACAUCAGCAUUUAUACAGACAUCUUUAACCGUUUUUAGAUAUGCUGCAUUUUGG
ensembl:lincRNA